rnacentral:rRNA from 1 species
AGUGAACGCUGGCGGUAGGCCUAACACAUGCAAGUCGAACGGCAGCACAGUAAGAGCUUGCUCUUACGGGUGGCGAGUGGCGGACGGGUGAGGAAUACAUCGGAAUCUACUUUUUCGUGGGGGAUAACGUAGGGAAACUUACGCUACUACCGCAUACGACCUACGGGUGAAAGCAGGGGAUCUUCGGACCUUGCGCGAUUGUAUGAGCCGAUGUCGGAUUAGCUAGUUGGCGGGGUAAAGGCCCACCAAGGCGACGAUCCGUAGCUGGUCUGAGAGGAUGAUCAGCCACACUGGAACUGAGACACGGUCCAGACUCCUACGGGAGGCAGCAGUGGGGAAUAUUGGACAAUGGGCGCAAGCCUGAUCCAGCCAUACCGCGUGGGUGAAGAAGGCCUUCGGGUUGUAAAGCCCUUUUGUUGGGAAAGAAAAGCAGCAGGUUAAUACCCCGCUGUUCUGACGGUACCCAAAGAAUAAGCACCGGCUAACUUCGUG